CAGCCGCCUGCCGCGGGCCACAGCAGCGCGCCCAGCGCGAGCAGCCUCAGCGCUGAGGCGCGUGCGCCUCGGGGACCCAUGGCUGCAGCUGCCGGCGAGGGCGCGAGGGCGACACACACAGGGAGAACACUACAUAAACUUGAAGGCAGAUAGCAAGGUGAAGCUUCUACAAGCCAAGGAACGCCAAAGAUUGCCUGCAAACCAUCAGAAGCUAGAAGAAAGGCAUGGAACAAAUCCUUCCAUCGCAGUCCUCAGAGAGAACCAGCUCUGCUGACACCUUGAUCUCGUUCUAGUCUCCAGAAAAAUGAGCCAGUAAAUUUCUGUCGUUUCAGCCACUCAGUUUGUGGUACUUUGUUAUGGCGGCCCUAGGAAACUAUACAUGAAAGCAGAAGGAAGCAAUCACAAAACUGUGUGACAUGAUGCACGGGGCAUACAUGUGACCCCUCAGAGGGAGCAGAAGCCGAGUCAUGCAGUCCUUGAGGGCCAAUGUAAGGGCUUUAGAUUUGCCCUUGGGUCAAAGGAGGGAAGAUAGUGGAGAGACAAGCCAGGAGGUCCAUGCCGCUGGCAGAAGGCACGUAAGGAUUUUAUUUUUAGUUUUUUAAACCACAGAAGAGGACAUAUUCUUCCCCACCUGAACUCUUUUCUUCUAGCAGGAUGGAGGCUUCCUUAACUGGAAACAGCUAAGAGAUGGAGCAAAGCCCCAAGAUCCUUGGCAGCAGAGGGAAGAUAAGGAAGAUGUACAAGUACCCCUGGAAGGGUCUUACACUGGAGUGCAUGCCCUGGUCCGGCUGCUCCCCCAUUCGUGUUGCUCCAGGUGCCGCCCAGGCCACGCCAAGCUGCUGUGGGAAGAAGACCAUGGAUGGGGGCAUUUUGAUUUCACGUAUUUGAUGAUUUUUAGCCAGAAUGUCUGUGAAUGAAAUUAUAACAGUUAGGUGAAUUAAACUGUUUUUAAAGCAAUGAUCCUUUUUCUCCCCCAGCAGAGUUUAAAACUCAAGAAGGGAAUUUAUAUUUGGGCCAAUAAGAAGAAACCAAAGAAUUGAUAAGAAGCUUGGCAUGAGACCAAGGUCUUCCAAUCUUCCAAAGGCAAAAAACUAGAUUCUAGAAAGGAGCAGGGAGUUGCCAUUCUUUGGCAAUGUGCUCAUUUAAAAAUAAUAUUUAUUUUUCUGCCAAAACUGUUUUUUCCAAAUUUGAGGAUUUUUGUAUCGAAUGCCCUUUAAAUUUCAAAAGUUUUUUUUUUUUAAACAUUGCAAUAAAACUGGAAAGAUCUAUGGAUUUACCUUGAUUUUAAAGAAUAUAAUUUUGUGUUUCAUUCUGUAGUGAUACACGCAGUUAUUACAGAGUGAAAAAUUGGAAAUUUGGUGUACAGUAAGUAUUUGGAUUUUUACACUAAAACCAAAAAUGAUAAAUACUAUGCAAAUGUGAUAAAACAUGGGAUUUCAAUUGCAAUUAGAGUGUAUUAUAAUGGGAAAAAAUAGUGUCUUUUAAGAAGGAAAUAGUUCUAGCAGGACCCUGGACUUAUAUGAAUCUAUAAAAUUUUCCUCUCAAACAUUCUGAGUAAGAUUCAUUUUACAGUCAGUGUUUAUUUUUUGUUUUUGCUUUUUCCUUUCAUAUGUUUUGGUUAUAUAUUAUAAUAUUUUAAAUUGGCUUGGGAGAAUUUGAACUCAUAAUUUUAAAGUAACUGAUAUUUGUAUUUAUUCAGUGACUUCUGAGAAUUUGCAGUUCUACACUAUGUUUAUCUGUAAUUAAAAUAAGGAUCCUGAUAAUGUGAAUUUCACCCAGGAAUCUUUUGAACAAAA